UUUUUUUUUUUUUUUUUUUAAUUAAGUUAUUUGUUUAAAAAUUAACAAAUUAAUUAGACUAUUUAUUUUACAAUUUCUUUAUUUUUACUACUCGUCUAUUUUUCAUAACACUUUUUAACACCACUGUUCAUAUUUGUACCAACAUACACAUAUUAAUACAUAUUGUAUUUUUGUUAUAUAUAUUGUAUUGUGUUGUAUAUGUUGUAUGUAUUGUAUUGUUUUUUUUUUUUUUUUUUUUGUACUUGGAACUUGUAACUAAAUAUUCAUAUAUAUAUAUAUAUGUAUAUACAUACAUUACAUGUGCAAAGCUUAAAAUUAUCAAAUUAAAUAAGAUUCUAAAAACAUGUCAAAAAAAAAAUGUUAUUAUUAUAUAUAAUUUUUGUCGUCUUACCAUUUCUCAUAUUUUCUUAUUUCGUAUAUAAAAAUGUUUGUACUAUUAUUAACGAAAAAAAUAAAAGAAACGAGUUUUUCAGUAACUUAGCAUUUGAAAACAAGCAGUAUACUGCUUUUGAAAACUUUGUCAAAAAAUAUGAAAUUGAAAAAUAUAAAUAUUAUUUAAAAGUUGUUAGAAAUAUUGAAGUAAAUUAUAAUAUGGAAAUACUUGAAAAGUUAAUUACAGAAAAUAAUGAAUUAGAAAAAAAAAAACGAGGAAUAUAUACAAAAUUUAUUAAAUAAUAUUGAUAAAGAUGAUAAAUAUGUACAGGAUAAUGAAAUAAAAAACCCUCAAAAUAGUUGGAUGAGAAAAUUAGCUAAUGAAGACAUAGUAAAGUUAAAAGUUUCCCUUUUAAAGAAAGCAAUUUGUUUUAUUCCAAUUUGUAAUAAAUUAUUUCAGGACAAAAAUAAAAGACAUUUGUUAUAUAAUAACUAUUAUAUUGAUGAUAAAAUGUCUAAAGAGCUAGAUGGCCAAUGUGCUGAGUUUUUAGAAGAAUUCGAUUUUAUUAUAUAUGAAGCCAAUUGUCUAUCACCUAACUGGGGCGAAACAAUUAUAGUAGACGCGUACAAAAUUUAUCAUCAUAACAAAUUAAAAAACGAUGAAGAAAAAAAAAAGAAAGACUUACAAAAAAGUUUGAUAAAAAAACAAAAACAGAAGGAAAAAAAAAUAAAGAUUGAUACAGAUAAAGCAAAUGAAUUGGCCAAUCAAUUAAUUCAAGUAAGUAUAAAAAAAAAAAAUAAAAAAAAAAAAAAA
rnacentral:lncRNA from 1 species